GAUGAACGCUAGCUACAGGCUUAACACAUGCAAGUCGAGGGGCAGCAUGGUCUUAGCUUGCUAAGGCCGAUGGCGACCGGCGCACGGGUGAGUAACACGUAUCCAACCUGCCGUCUACUCUUGGACAGCCUUCUGAAAGGAAGAUUAAUACAAGAUGGCAUCAUGAGUCCGCAUGUUCACAUGAUUAAAGGUAUUCCGGUAGACGAUGGGGAUGCGUUCCAUUAGAUAGUAGGCGGGGUAACGGCCCACCUAGUCUUCGAUGGAUAGGGGUUCUGAGAGGAAGGUACCCCACAUUGGAACUGAGACACGGUCCAAAAUCCUACGGGAGGCAGCAGUGAGGAAUAUUGGGCAAUGGGCGCAGGCCUGAACCAGCCAAGUAGCGUGAAGGAUGACUGCCCUAUGGGUUGUAAACUUCUUUUAGAAAGGAAUAAAGUCGGGUAUGUAUACCCGUUUGCAUGUACUUUAUGAAUAAGGAUCGGCUAACUCCGUG
rnacentral:rRNA from 1 species